GCCUAACACAUGCAAGUCGAGCGGGGCCCAUCCGUCAGCAAUGGCGGUGAAGGCCUAGCGGCGAACGGGUGAGUAACACGUGAGCAACCUGCCCCGAAGUUCGGGAUAACACCGGGAAACCGGUGCUAAUACCGGGUGCCCCCACCUGACCGCAUGAUCGGGUGAGGAAAGCCAUAUCUAAUCAAUAUGGCCCUUCGGGAGGGGCUCGCGGGCUAUCAGCUUGUUGGUGAGGUAACGGCUCACCAAGGCGACGACGGCUAGCUGGUCUGAGAGGACGACCAGCCACACUGGGACUGAGACACGGCCCAGACUCCUACGGGAGGCAGCAGUGGGGAAUCUUGCGCAAUGGGCGAAAGCCUGACGCAGCAACGCCGCGUGGGGGAUGAAGGCUCUCGGGUUGUAAACUCCUUUCAGCAGGGACGAAAUUGACGGUACCUGCAGAAGAAGCCCCGGCCAACUACGUGCCAGCAGCCGCGGUAAU
rnacentral:rRNA from 1 species